rnacentral:rRNA from 1 species
CCUGCCGGACCUGACUGCUAUCGGAUCGAUACUAAGCCAUGCGAGUCUUUGUAGUAAUACAAGGCAGACGGCUCAGUAACACGUAGUCAACCUACCCUAUGGACAAGAAUAAUCUCGGGAAACUGGGCAUAAUUCUUGAUAGAUCAUAAUGCCUGGAAUGGUUUAUGGUUAAAAUGAUUCGUCGCCAUAGGAUGAGACUGCGGCCUAUCAGCUUGUUGGUGAGGUAAUGGCCCACCAAGGCGAUUACAGGUACGGGCUCUGAGAGGAGAAGCCCGGAGAUGGGUACUGAGACACGGACCCAGGCCCUAUGGGGCGCAGCAGGCGAGAAAACUUUGCAAUGUGCGAAAGCACGACAAGGUUAAUCCGAGUGAUUUCUGCUAAAGAAAUCUUUUGCCAGUCGUAAAACCGCUGGUGAAUAAGGGGUGGGCAAGUUCUGGUGUCAGCCGCCGCGGUAAAACCAGCACCUCAAGUGGUCAGGAUGAUUAUUGGGCCUAAAGCAUCCGUAGCCGGCUUUGUAAGUUUUCGGUUAAAUCCAUGUGCUCAACGCAUGGGCUGCCGAAAAUACUGCAUGGCUAGGGAGUGGGAGAGGUAGACGGUACUCAGUAGGAAGGGGUAAAAUCCUUUGAUCUAUUGAUGACCACCUGUGGCGAAGGCGGUCUACCAGAACACGUUCGACGGUGAGGGAUGAAAGCUGGGGGAGCAAACCGGAUUAGAUACCCGGGUAGUCCCAGCUGUAAACGAUGCAGACUCGAUGAUGCAUUGGCAUAAUAGCCAGUGCAGUGUCGCAGGGAAGCCGUUAAGUCUGCCGCCUGGGAAGUACGUACGCAAGUAUGAAACU